UACGGGGGGAGCAAGCGUUGUUCGGAUUUACUGGGCGUAAAGAGCUCGUAGGUGGUUUGUCGCGUUGUCCGUAAAAACUCACAACUCAAUUGUGGGCGUGCGGGCGAUACGGGCAGACUGGAGUACUGCAGGGGGAGACUGGAAUUCCUGGUGUAGCGGUGGAAUGCGCAGAUAUCAGGAGGAACACCGGUGGCGAAGGCGGGUCUCUGGGCAGUAACUGACGCUGAGGAGCGAAAGCGUGGGGAGCGAACAGG
rnacentral:rRNA from 1 species